UCCGUAGGUGGCAAGCGUUGUCCGGAUUUACUGGGCGUAAAGGGAGCGUAGGCGGAUACUUAAGUGGGAUGUGAAAUACCUGGGCUUAACUUGGGUGCUGCAUUCCAAACUGGGUGUCUAGAGUGUUGGAGAGGAAAGUGGAAUUCCUAGUGUAGCGGUGAAAUGCGUAGAGAUUAGGAAGAACACCAGUGGCGAAGGCGACUUUCUGGACAAUAACUGACGCUGAGGCUCGAAAGCGUGGGGAGCAAACAGG
rnacentral:rRNA from 1 species